rnacentral:rRNA from 1 species
UACGUAGGGGGCAAGCGUUGUCCGGAAUUAUUGGGCGUAAAGCGCGCGCAGGCGGUCCUUUAAGUCUGAUGUGAAAGUCCACGGCUCAACCGUGGGAUUGCAUUGGAAACUGGGGGACUUGAGUGCAGUAGAGGAGAGUGGAAUUCCUGGUGUAGCGGUGAAAUGCGUAGAGAUCAGGAGGAACAUCAAUGGCGAAGGCAGCUCUCUGGACUGUAACUGACGCUGAGGCGCGAAAGCGUGGGUAGCAAACAGGAUUAGAUACCCUGGUAGUCCACGCCGUAAACGAUGAGUGCUAGGUGUUAGGGGGUCCAACCCUUAGUGCCGAAGUUAACACAUUAAGCACUCCGCCUGGGGAGUACGGUCGCAAGACUGAA